AUGAGGCUGGCUGCUGUCAUUGACACGAUCAUCUCCCCCGCGCAAUCCGCAUUCCAGAGGGCCAAAUGCAUCCACGACAGCUUUCUCUUCUUCCAGAAUAGUGUUUGUGCUCUCCAUCGCCGCAAAACACCCACCCUCCUGCUGAAAUUAGAUAUAGCAAAGGCAUUUGACAGUGUUUCAUGGGAAUAUAUCUUAGAGCUGCUAGAAAUGGGUUUUCCGGCACGUUGGAGGGACUGGGUUGCCCUGCUCCUCUCAACCUCGUCAUCAGUUUGUCUGCUCAAUGGCGUUCUAGGCUGCCCCAUUGAGCAUCGACGCGGCCUGCGGCAGGGCGACCCGCUCUCCCCUCUCCUGUUCAUCCUCUGCAUCGACCCCCGCAUAGACUUCUAG
rnacentral:rRNA from 1 species